rnacentral:rRNA from 1 species
UCGAGGAUCUUCGGCAAUGGGCGCAAGCCUGACCGAGCGACGCCGCGUGUGCGAUGAAGGCCUUCGGGUUGUAAAGCACUGUCGGGAGGAAGAAAGACCCGCAAGGGUUUGAUCGACCUUCGGAGGAAGCACGGGCUAAGUUCGUGCCAGCAGCCGCGGUAAGACGAACCGUGCGAACGUUAUUCGGAAUCACUGGGCUUAAAGGGCGCGUAGGCGGGCUCGCCAGUCAGGGGUGAAAGCCCACGGCUCAACCGUGGAAGUGCCUUUGAUACUGCGAGUCUCGAGGGAGGUAGGGGCGUGCGGAACUUCCGGUGGAGCGGUGAAAUGCGUAGAUAUCGGAAGGAACACCGGUGGCGAAAGCGGCGCGCUGGACCUCUUCUGACGCUGAGGCGCGAAAGCCAGGGGAGCAAACGGGAUUAGAUACCCCCGUAGUCC